UUCGAAAUGAUCUUUAAAAGU
rnacentral:miRNA from 1 species